rnacentral:rRNA from 1 species
AGGUUACUGCUAUCGGUGUUCGCCUAAGCCAUGCGAGUCAUAUGUUCUUCGUGAACAUGGCGUACUGCUCAGUAACACGUGGAUAACCUGCCCUUGGGUCCGGCAUAACCCCGGGAAACUGGGGAUAAUUCCGGAUAACGCACAUAUGCUGGAAUGCUUUAUGCGUCAAAUGGAUUCGUCCGCCCAAGGAUGGGUCUGCGGCCUAUCAGGUAGUAGUGGGUGUAAUGUACCUACUAGCCUACGACGGGUACGGGUUGUGAGAGCAAGAGCCCGGAGAUGGAUUCUGAGACAUGAAUCCAGGUCCUACGGGGCGCAGCAGGCGCGAAAACUUUACAAUGCGGGAAACCGUGAUAAGGGGACACCGAGUGCCAGCAUCAUAUGCUGGCUGUCCGGGCGUGUAAAAUACACCUGUUAGCAAGGGCCGGGCAAGACCGGUGCCAGCCGCCGCGGUAACACCGGCGGCCCGAGUGGUGAUCGUGAUUAUUGGGUCUAAAGGGUCCGUAGCCGGUUUGGUCAGUCCUCCGGGAAAUCUGACGGCUUAACCGUUAGGCUUUCGGGGGAUACUGCCAGACUUGGAACCGGGAGAGGUAAGAGGUACUACAGGGGUAGGAGUGAAAUCUUGUAAUCCCUGUGGGACCACCUGUGGCGAAGGCGUCUUACCAGAACGGGUUCGACGGUGAGGGACGAAAGCUGGGGGCACGAACCGGAUUAGAUACCCGGGUAGUCCCAGCCGUAAACGAUGCUCGCUAGGUGUCAGGCAUGGCGCGACCGUGUCUGGUGCCGCAGGGAAGCCGUGAAGCGAGCCACCUGGGAAGUACGGCCGCAAGGCUGAAACUUAA